UGAGAAAGGAAGCAAACGCACAAACGGGAGAGAGAGAGAGAGGAAGAAGAGAAGAGAAAGGGAGGGAGUUAGGCUUGGAUCUAGGAGUCUUUGCGACCGUUGCGAGCUCGGCUACACGAUAGAAAAUUGUUGGUGGAACUUAUUGAGAAGUAAGGAACAAGCCGAGCCCUAUUUUGUACAAGGGGAACUCUUUUAGUACCAAAGGGUUGAGGUCCAGGCGAAGGAUCCAGUGGUGGACGGGGAAAAGAGCAAAGCUAGGGGUUUGCUUGUGAUUUGUAAAGAACUGCAACCCCUUUCUUUUGAGCAAAUAUAUUGUAAUGUAUUUAAGAUUAGGGUGCCAGUAGGAUAUGAUUAUGUGUGUGUGUGUGAAUAUGUGUGGAUUGUGUGCUUGUGUAUGAAUUUUUGUCUGUUUGCAGACUUGUGGCUAGGAAACUUGGUUAUGGUGUGU